UUCCAGGAAGUGAGGUCCAGGGCAGCCUGCAUUGCAAAAAAGUUACCAAAUACAAAAUGGAUAUGAAGUUAUUUCAGGAGAGAGAGACCUAAUGGUUGGGCAUAGGUGGGCAUCGUUAAAGAAAGCUUUGUGUAGGUGUUGGCAUUUUAAAAGAAAAGUUUCCCCUUCAGUGUAAAGCUCCCAAGGUCUGGUGACAAGUAAUGAGGGCCUGGACUAAGGCUGUAGCUGUGUUCAUGGAGAGAAGAGGACAUGCCUGAAAGAUUUUGUGAAGAUGUUGGGGAACUGCUCUGAGGUUUAAGCAUGUCUGCUUCUGCAAAGUUCUUCAGUGAUGAUGCCCUUGGAAAGUAAAUGAAGAGAUUUAGGAACCAACUAAGUGAAGAGGAAAGCUAAAUAAAGAGACAUUUCAUACUAGAAGGGAAAUGCAUAUCAUGGGAUAUAAGAAACAAAAGUUGACCUAAAAAGUGUUUCCUCACUCUCUGCAAUUAUCCUGCAUGGUUUCUACUGGAAAAAGAAAGGGGGAAAUGGGUGCUUGUUAAUUUCACAUGUUUUCCCAUUCAUUAGUCAAAGGAAGGGGGUCCUUUUGGAAACUCGCUUAAUGAUUUACUUGAUUCUAAUUACAGUAUGGAAAUCAGCUGAAUACCCAAAUCUAGAAUCAAAAAGUAGAAAGUCUGCAUGAGUUUUGAAAAAUUGCCCUGAAUCUCUUUUAGAAAUUCAGAAUCAAAACAACAACAAAAUCAGUCUAUAGACAACUGAAACAAAAUAUAAAGCUCUUUUCAAGUAUUUUCUUUUUUUAAGUGGGACUUUGGUCAAAAAGUUUUAAAUCUUUUACAAAUCACCCCUACCACCCCCAAUUCAUCCUAAACUCUUUAGUCAAAGUAAAUGAUCAGUGAUAAAAACUCCUC